rnacentral:rRNA from 1 species
CGUAGGGUGCGAGCGUUAAUCGGAAUUACUGGGCGUAAAGCGUGCGCAGGCGGUUUAGUAAGACAGGCGUGAAAUCCCCGGGCUCAACCUGGGAACUGCGCUUGUGACUGCUAAGCUAGAGUACGGCAGAGGGGGUGGAAUUCCACGUGUAGCAGUGAAAUGCGUAGAGAUGUGGAGGAACACCAAUGGCGAAGGCGGCCCCCUGGGUCGAUACUGACGCUCAUGCACGAAAGCGUGGGUAGCAAACAGGAUUAGAUACCCUGGUAGUCCACGCCCUAAACGAUGUCAACUAGGUGUUGGGAGGGUAAAACCUUUUAGUACCGGAGCUAACGCGUGAAGUUGACCGCCUGGGGAGUACGGCCGCAAGGUUA